rnacentral:rRNA from 1 species
GAUGAACGCUGGCGGCGUGCCUAAUACAUGCAAGUCGAGCGAACAGACGAGGCGCUUGCUCCUCUGACGUUAGCGGCGGACGUGUGAGUAACACGUGGAUAACCUACCUAUAAGACUGGGAUAACUUCGGGAAACCGGAGCUAAUACCGGAUAAUAUAUUGAACCGCGUGGGUCGAUAGUGAAAUACGGUUUUGCUGUCACUUAUAGAUGGAUACGCGCCUCAUUAGCUGGUUGGUGAGGUAACGGCUUACCAAGGCGACGAUGCGUUGCCGACGUGUGGGGGUGAUCGGCCACACUGGAACUGGAACACGGUCCAGACGCCUACGGGAGGCCGCAGUAGGCAACGUGCCGCAAUGGGCGAAAGCCUUACGGAGCAACGCCGAGUGAGUGACGAAGGUCUUCGGAUCGUAAAACUCUGUUAUUAGGGAAAAACAAAUGUGUACGUAACUAUGCACGUCUUGACGGUACCUAAUCAGAAAGCCCCGGCUAACUACGUG